rnacentral:rRNA from 1 species
GACGAACGCUGGCGGCGUGCUUAACACAUGCAAGUCGAACGGAAAGGCCCUGCUUUUGUGGGGUGCUCGAGUGGCGAACGGGUGAGUAACACGUGAGUAACCUGCCCUUGACUUUGGGAUAACUCCAGGAAACUGGGGCUAAUACCGGAUAGGAGCUCCUGCUGCAUGGUGGGGGUUGGAAAGUUUCGGCGGUUGGGGAUGGACUCGCGGCUUAUCAGCUUGUUGGUGGGGUAGUGGCUUACCAAGGCUUUGACGGGUAGCCGGCCUGAGAGGGUGACCGGCCACAUUGGGACUGAGAUACGGCCCAGACUCCUACGGGAGGCAGCAGUGGGGAAUAUUGCACAAUGGGCGGAAGCCUGAUGCAGCAACGCCGCGUGCGGGAUGACGGCUUUCGGGUUGUAAACCGCUUUCGCCUGUGACGAAGCGUGAGUGACGGUAAUGGGUAAAGAAGCACCGGCUAACUACGUG